AACAAGGCGUACCUGCGGACCUGCGGAAGGAUCAUUACCGAGUUUACAACUCCCAAACCCCUGUGAACAUACCAAUUGCUGCCUCGGCGGAUCAGCCCGCUCCCGGUAAAACGGGACGGCCCGCCAGAGGACCCCUAAACUCUGUUUCUAUAUGUAACUUCUGAGUAAAACCAUAAAUAAAUCAAAACUUUCAACAAUGGAUCU
rnacentral:misc_RNA from 1 species